CCUACGGGAGGCAGCAGUGGGGAAUAUUGGACAAUGGGCGAAAGCCUGAUCCAGCCAUGCCGCGUGUGUGAAGAAGGCCUUCGGGUUGUAAAGCACUUUCAGUGGGGAAGAAAGCCUUGGGGCUAAUACCCUCGAGGAAGGACAUCACCCACAGAAGAAGCACCGGCUAACUCCGUGCCAGCAGCCGCGGUAAUACGGAGGGUGCGAGCGUUAAUCGGAAUUACUGGGCGUAAAGCGCGCGUAGGCGGUCUGAUAAGCCGGUUGUGAAAGCCCCGGGCUCAACCUGGGAACGGCAUCCGGAACUGUCAGGCUAGAGUGCAGGAGAGGAAGGUAGAAUUCCCGGUGUAGCGGUGAAAUGCGUAGAGAUCGGGAGGAAUACCAGUGGCGAAGGCGGCCUACUGGACUGACACUGACGCUGAGGUGCGAAAGCGUGGGUAGCAAACAGGAUUAGAUACCCCAGUAGUC
rnacentral:rRNA from 1 species